rnacentral:lncRNA from 1 species
CUUCACUGUUUUGCAAAAAUAGUACAUAAUUGCUUUAAAUUUUUGAAAAUCAAAUUCAUCCUCCUUUUGGGUUAUCUAGCUGGGCAAUAAUGUCCGUAUAAUUGGUUUUCAAUGCAUGGUAAAUCAUUAUUGAUUUUCUAUCUCUUCUAUCUUUGCAUAACAUACAACCCAUGAUCAAGUUGUUUUGUGCCUACCACAUACUAAAGAAACAUCCUUUCUAGCAGGGUUGAUGGUAUAUCUCAACUCGAAAGGGGUUAUAGUUGAUCCAAGGUAGUCCUUUCUCAAUUCAUGAUCGGAAGGGCCACUUGUUUUUUGUUUUAUCUAAGCAACUUGUACCGAGCUGCC